AGACAGGAGGGUGGCCAAGUGUUCAAGCGAGCCUGUACUGCAGUGGAGCUCUGAUUCAAAAUAACCUCAGUUUCGCACAUAUCUGAGUCGUUAAUGACCUCGAGGCUAAAAGCAAAGCUGGCUAGUGUUCCCUGAGGCUGAUUUUUACCUGAAGUCCUUGACUUUGUACAAAACCCAAAAUGCCUUGAUACUUGUCUUCAGUAAUUAGACUUUAAAUUUAACUUUCUCUCCCUGCUUCCCACCCCUUUUAAAGGAGGAGUUGUUAAGGGACAACUUUUUUGAGAUUUUGCCGUGCCUGAGGCAGAAUAUUUAUUGUGUGACUAGUCAUGGUGAGAUACACCAGCAGUCUAUGCUUAUGGGAGGUGGAGCAGUGAAGGUCACAAGUCUCAGACCAAAUCUGGCUGUAUAGUGAGACCCUGUCUGCUCCCAAAAAACACCCUCCAACCCCUAGUGUUAAGAGUCAUUAAACUGAAGUUAACUGUA